AGAGUAUUUAAUGCUCUCUGCCUGCCUCAGUCCCAGCCCAGGCUGACGGAUCCACCUCACUUUGUGUCUUCUGCUGCUCUUAAGAGACUAAUGAGGAAAUUUUCCUGUGACUGCUUCACUUGUGCGCUCCCUCUCUGCAUUGAGCAGCUAAUGCCAGUGAUACGUUUUCCAGUCCGCCAGCGAUGUGUCUGCUUUAUGGCCAGUGAGAUGAUGGGACAGAGGGAUGAGGCAUUAAUAGGAAGGAGACAGGAGCAAGAGACUGAGCAAAAUGCAGAAAUGACUUGAAAACCUAAGGGGAGGGAAGCCAGCGAGAGACAUUUCUGUCUGUUGAACACGAUCGAUGCCUGCUGACAUCAAUCACUGCAAGCUGGGUGCACUGAUGGAUGUUUCCUCCCUGUCUGCAGCGAAGACAAAUGGGUGUGGGCAGGGAACGCCUCGGCCACUGCAUGGAACCCAAGGGAAGGCAGUCCAGGCUGGGGAAGGCACAGAGCAGCCACUCUCAGGUGGCCCAGAGGACUGAGACAUCAUUGAUUAGAUACGUUCUUAAUUAAUUUUUUGAAAUUGCUACAGAUCAUUGCUGGAAGAAGAUGAUUUGUCAAAAGCGGUCCCUUUUGCGGGAACUCAGCGGCUGCAGAGAAACCUCCUGGUAGGUUCCUGAGCUCCGGGAAGGGCUCUGAUGGAAAAGGCAAGGAUCCAGGCUCCUGCAGAGCCCCAUCCUGCCAUGCCCCCCCAGCCCUAUGGGGGCAACAGGCUGAAAAGCUGUGUUUUUUUUCCAUGAGAACUCCCAUAGCAAAAGCACAGAGUGUAUCCGGGAACAAAGCAUCUGAAUCCGACUGAUUCGUUUUGCAUUGAAUAACACAUUACCAUCCGUUCGAACCAAAAGAGGGGAAAUUUAGACUAGGUAUAAGGAAAAGGUUUUUCGUGAUAGGAGUGAUGUGGCAUCGGCACAGGUUGCAGAGAGGUGGUGGGUGCCCCAUCCAUGGAGACACCUCAGGUCAGGCUGGACCGGGCUCUGAGCACCCGAUGGAACUGCAGAAGCCCCUGUUCAUUGCAGAAGAGUUGGACCAGAUGGCUGUGAAAUGUCCCUUCUAACUCAAACCAUUCUGUGUUUCUAUGAUUCAAUGAUCAAGUGCAAGUGAGCACUUCUGCUUGCUUAUGCAAAAUAAAUACACAAAACAAGAACUUUCUCAGAUGGAAAAGCAUUUAAAAAGCUCCAGAGCCCUUGGUGUUCUUUGUUUUGUACAAAACAAGAAAAAGCUCUCCUUCCCUCCUUCCUUCAUCCACACCCUUUGAUUUGUCUGAGCUUACAGUGACAGCUGUGGAAUCCCCCCAGAGGUGUCGGUACAUCAGAGGAACCAGGACCAGGAGUUAAAGACAUUUCUCUUGCUUUAUGGCUGCUGUGGGAUCCUGGUCCAAAUCCUCUUUCUUCCAGGCCACGUGUAUUCUCAGUACAACAGUUCCAGAGACUCAAAUGCUGCAGUUUCCCUAUGCUGGCAGAGCACAGAGCUGAGAACUGGGCUUGUAGUCCUCUCCAUCACAGCGCAUUGCCCAGCCAGACGUCCCCAGGCCUCCUGAACCACAUCACUGCUGCGGGGCCCACCCAAGGAUGGCUGACAUUUAAACAUUCACUCUCAGACCAAAAUUGCCCGUUCCUCCCCAGAACAAACCUGCAAUUCUUUUCAGAGCCGAGGCCACAAAGUUCAGGUGUUUCAAUUCAAAAGUGAGGACAAAAUUGUUUACUCUGCGCUGGAGAAGCAGGGCACAGCAGAAGCAGCUCUGAUGACAGCCUGCCCCUUCUGCAACAGAGGUUAUAACUUGUUUUUAAUCACUGUUUGCUCUCUUUUAUUUCUUGUUUCAUUUUCAG
rnacentral:lncRNA from 1 species